rnacentral:lncRNA from 1 species
CCGUCGUCCGUCGUCGUCCGUUGUCGUCGUUAACUUUUACAAAAAUCUUCUCCUCUGAAACUACUGGGCCAAAUUAAACCAAACUUGGCCACAAUCAUCAUUGGGGUAUCUAGUUUAAAAAAUGUGUCCGGUGACCCGGCCAACCAUCCAAGAUGGCCGCCAUGGCUAAAAAUAGAACAUAGGGGUAAAAUGCAGUUUUUGG